UCUGGAUUACUUCUCUAACAUUUUAAAAUUUGCUACUGUCAAGUUUCAGUUGGCGCAGGUGUACAGCGGAGGUAUAUAUGUGAUAAGGUGAUGUGAUCAUUAGAAAAAGUAAGGAACUGCACAUCUGGGCCUCACAUUAAUUACAAAUGUUCAGUGGCUUACAAAAGGUACAUUUUACCUUGUUUGAAUGUAGCCAGAGAAGGGAGAGAUGUGUGGGAGCUCGAGGGCGAGAGGAAGACGGAGACGGCACGGGGCAGCGUCCUGCAGGUGGGGAGAGCUGGAGGCAUGCUGGCCCAGGCAUGGUCAACACGAGGCGAUCGAGCUGCUCUGCUCGUUACUGAAGAACAGAGGCAGCAGCAGGUUCGUGGCGAUGUAACGGCGACACAAGAGGUUCUGGAGACAGGGCGGCCGGUACCGGCUGGAACGGGGUGGAUCCAGUCGGCCGGCGUCGGUUCCGGGCAACGGCGGCGGUGGACAGAGCUCGGGCGCGUAGCUCAGCCAUCCAUGGCGUACUGCCGAUGGUGCACAGAGAGAGAUGUUAGAGAGAGGGGAAAACUCAGGCUUCAAUCCAAUCUAUCCCUGUACGGUAAGAUCCUCAGUCAUCAAUUCCUGCUUAGGACCAACUAAUUGUUGAUGAGAUGCAUGUGCAAGGCACUGAACUGUAGCACCACGGUAUAUAUCUUCUUAAGUAAGUGAUUUGUGCAUAAUACAAUGAGUUUAUAUGUACUUGGAAGUAGUGUCUUCUUUUUUCCUGAACGGUACAGUACACUGCAUGUACAACAAUAGUGGCUGAGAGGGUUAUUUGCAUUGUUGGUCCUUGUGGAAUCAAUAGACCUCAGCUGUUUAUUUGUAUACUCUCUUGCUUUUUGCAGUGUGGUAUUGGUUGCUAGACACAAAGGCAUACACAAAUCUUUGCUCGUGCCAUUAUUUAUUCAGGAAGCACCUAGCAGUGUAAUCUCAUGCAUCAAGUAAGAUCUUGCUAUUGGAUGCAAAGAGUUGUCUGAUAUGUUUGCUCUUUUUUUUUUGACAUAAUCAUCCGGUGAUAUAUUUCCCCUUUGAUAUUUUACUGGAUGUUUAUUAUUUUUGACAUAAGUAUACUCUCUUUUGACCUAAUUAGACUAUGGUAUCAAUUUUUAAUGACAAUGGUAGGAGUGAAUAUGGACUCUGCACUCUUGCGCCUUUAAUGUGUUUGUUCUUCCCUAGCCUAGGUAGAGUAAGGAGGUUUUUAUUCCCCAGUUAAGGAAUCUGUGUUUGGCAAAAAAAAAUCCCUUAAUUUCGGGCUGUUUUUCUAUCUCUUGUGUGUUUAAUUAUUGUUUGGGUGAUCUUUUUUUACCUGGUUGCGAAAUUUAUUCAUGGAUGACGAUUGUCGUGCAGGUCGAAGGGGGUUGUUUGAGCCCAACGUUAGUGUUAAAAAUCACCUCAUCUCCACUGGCGAACCCAGCCGCAACGCAUCCUUCACAUCACUGAUGGUGUAUCAUUCUCCAGUGUCUCAACAUAGUCUGCCUUUUAGUUAUCCAACGUCGAUGUUAUAUCAUUCAAACUCAAAGUUCAGCUUGCAAGCUCUUAUGUUAUUAUCUAACCAGUGUUUUGUUUCAAAUGCUUUGUCUUAAUUCAGACCUUUGAUUCUACGAUCAUAUAUUGGAGUUAGUCUUUGUUAGUUUUUAUUGUAAUACUGCUCGGAUGGUUGACACCUUUCUUUAUGGGCAUGAUAAAUGUUCUUUAAUCUUUUGUUCUGGUCGUCCUGUUUGAGUGGUAAAUUAUUCUUAAGGUUUGUAAGAACAAAUUUAUAUAUUAUGUAUCCAUUGCAAUGCAUGGGUUCUUACCUACAUAUUAAAUCUACAUGCAAUCUAUGACAUGCUCGAUCACAGAAUUAAAGAUUUGGAUUAGUGUUUAUUCAACGCAUUUCCAAGUAUUAUUCAUAUUAAGGCAUUGUUUUUAAAUCAAUUUAUUGGGUUGGGGACAUGAAAAUAUAUUUUUCUCUCGGAGCACAAUGUCAACCAUAUGAAAUCAUGGCACUCGGCAUAUGCGAGGAAUUGUACUCG
rnacentral:lncRNA from 1 species